rnacentral:rRNA from 1 species
UGGGGAAUUUUGGACAAUGGGCGAAAGCCUGAUCCAGCAAUGCCGCGUGUGUGAAGAAGGCCUUCGGGUUGUAAAGCACUUUUGUCCGGAAAGAAAUCCUUGGCUCUAAUACAGUCGGGGGAUGACGGUACCGGAAGAAUAAGCACCGGCUAACUACGUGCCAGCAGCCGCGGUAAUACGUAGGGUGCAAGCGUUAAUCGGAAUUACUGGGCGUAAAGCGUGCGCAGGCGGUUUGCUAAGACCGAUGUGAAAUCCCCGGGCUCAACCUGGGAACUGCAUUGGUGACUGGCAGGCUAGAGUAUGGCAGAGGGGGGUAGAAUUCCACGUGUAGCAGUGAAAUGCGUAGAGAUGUGGAGGAAUACCGAUGGCGAAGGCAGCCCCCUGGGCCAAUACUGACGCUCAUGCACGAAAGCGUGGGGAGCAAAACAGGAUUAGAUACCCCUGGUAGUCCACGCCCUAAACGAUGUCAACUAGUUGUUGGGGAUUCAUUUCCUUAGUAACGUAGCUAACGCGUGAAGUUGACCGCCUGGGGAGUACGGUCGCAAGAUUAAAACUUAAAGGAAUUG